CCACAUCCCACAUGUACUCAACUCUUUCAAACGUGGUCCAUUGCUUUUAGCUUUCACAGACUAGUAACACUAUAUAACCAUGAAACAAAAAAUAAAUUUCCCAAUUGUCAAGCUAUAUCGCGUUUUGACUAAUUCUAACACGGCCUUAAUCGUCCAACAAGAGAGGGUGUCUCAUGGUAAAUCUCUUGAUUUCCUUGCAAAUGAGAUAUCUCAAUCUCAAACAUGCCCCCAUCCACUCUUUUCCUAAUAAACAAAAAGAAACGGCCACAAACAUGCUCUAUCAUAUGCAUCAUUAAUUCUAUAC
rnacentral:lncRNA from 1 species